AGGGCAGGGUCUUGCCAGCAGCCGGUGGCACAGGUGGGCGGCACAGGGGCUGCGUGGUGGCCCCUGUGAUGUCACCUGGCAGAGGUGCCUGAGCUGGGCCUGGCGUGGAGGGCACAGGCCUCACUCCCUGACUGCCUGACAGUCCCUACAGUGAGCGGGACCCCCUUAUUAAGGCUGUGGGGCAGAGUGGGGUGACAGGUGUUGAGGGGUGGGGCCCAGCCCCGGGCACCCGCACGUUCCUCUCUGCCCCUGGGAGAAGUGUUGAGAGACGGAGCUCGGGAUCAGCUGGCAUAUCCACCAUGUUCCAGGGUCGACCAGGGAGCACAGAGCCCUGAACAUCCCUUCAACAGCGUGCCACACACUCCUGGCACAAACUCCAGACCACAGCACAGCACCCAGACAGCUGCAGCCAUGCAGAGAAACCCACAACUGCCAGGACCAUGGGGUGACAGCCACGGUGGGCUCUGCAGGCCCCUCUGGUCUAAGACACCAGGAGGCCACAUCCAGCAACCAAGGCCACCGGGCAGGACACGUCAGGAUGGAGGUGCAGUGAAGACUGCGGUGGACGCCUCCAGAGGUUCCCACGUGGCUUCCAGUGGAGCCUCUGCCAAACCCAGCCUGUGCAAGGGCAGAGACAAGGCCCAGCAGGGCUCGAGCAGGCCCAAACGCACGACGCAGCUGCUGUGCCUGGGUCUGAGCUGCACCCACAGGUGACGUGAGGGGCGCCUAGGAGGCGGGGGAGGCACGGGGCCGGGAAGGCUCG
rnacentral:lncRNA from 1 species